UACGUAGGGGGCAAGCGUUAUCCGGAUUUACUGGGUGUAAAGGGAGCGUAGACGGCAUAGCAAGUCUGAAGUGAAAGCCCGCGGCCCAACCGCGGAACUGCUUUGGGAACUGUUUUGCUGGAGUAUGGGAGGGGUAAGCGGAAUUCCUGGUGUAGCGGUGAAAUGCGUAGAUAUCAGGAGGAACACCGGUGGCGAAGGCGGCUUACUGGACCAUAACUGACGUUGAGGCUCGAAAGCGUGGGGAGCGAACAGG
rnacentral:rRNA from 1 species